UACGUAGGUCCCGAGCGUUGUCCGGAUUUAUUGGGCGUAAAGCGAGCGCAGGUGGUUUAUUAAGUCUGAUGUAAAAGGCAGUGGCUCAACCAUUGUAUGCAUUGGAAACUGGUAGACUUGAGUGCAGGAGAGGAGAGUGGAAUUCCAUGUGUAGCGGUGAAAUGCGUAGAUAUAUGGAGGAACACCGGUGGCGAAAGCGGCUCUCUGGCCUGUAACUGACACUGAGGCUCGAAAGCGUGGGGAGCAAACAGG
rnacentral:rRNA from 1 species